rnacentral:rRNA from 1 species
GACGAACGCUGGCGGCGUGCCUAAUACAUGCAAGUAGAACGCUGAAGAGAGGAGCUUGCUCUUCUUGGAUGAGUUGCGAACGGGUGAGUAACGCGUAGGUAACCUGCCUUGUAGCGGGGGAUAACUAUUGGAAACGAUAGCUAAUACCGCAUAACAAUGGAUGACACAUGUCAUUUAUUUGGAAGGGGCAAUUGCUCCACUACAAGAUGGACCUGCGUUGUAUUAGCUAGUAGGUGAGGUAACGGCUCACCUAGGCGACGAUACAUAGCCGACCUGAGAGGGUGAUCGGCCACACUGGGACUGAGACACGGCCCAGACUCCUACGGGAGGCAGCAGUAGGGAAUCUUCGGCAAUGGGGGCAACCCUGACCGAGCAACGCCGCGUGAGUGAAGAAGGUUUUCGGAUCGUAAAGCUCUGUUGUAAGUCAAGAACGAGUGUGAGAGUGGAAAGUUCACACUGUGACGGUAGCUUACCAGAAAGGGACGGCUAACUACGUGCCAGCAGCCGCGGUAAUACGUAGGUCCCGAGCGUUGUCCGGAUUUAUUGGGCGUAAAGCGAGCGCAGGCGGUUUGAUAAGUCUGAAGUUAAAGGCUGUGGCUCAACCAUAGUUCGCUUUGGAAACUGUCAAACUUGAGUGCAGAAGGGGAGAGUGGAAUUCCAUGUGUAGCGGUGAAAUGCGUAGAUAUAUGGAGGAACACCGGUGGCGAAAGCGGCUCUCUGGUCUGUAACUGACGCUGAGGCUCGAAAGCGUGGGGAGCGAACAGGACUAGAUACCCUGGUAGUCCACGCCGUAAACGAUGAGUGCUAGGUGUUGGAUCCUUUCCGGGAUUCAGUGCCGCAGCUAACGCAUUAAGCACUCCGCCUGGGGAGUACGACCGCAAGGUUGAAACUCAAAGGAAUUGACGGGGGCCCGCACAAGCGGUGGAGCAUGUGGUUUAAUUCGAAGCAACGCGGAGAACCUUACCGGGUCUUGACAUCCCGAUGCUAUUUCUAGAGAUAGAAAGUUACUUCGGUACAUCGGUGACAGGUGGUGCAUGGUUGUCGUCAGCUCGUGUCGUGAGAUGUUGGGUUAAGUCCCGCAACGAGCGCAACCCCUAUUGUUAGUUGCCAUCAUUCAGUUGGGCACUCUAGCGAGACUGCCGGUAAUAAACCGGAGGAAGGUGGGGAUGACGUCAAAUCAUCAUGCCCCUUAUGACCUGGGCUACACACGUGCUACAAUGGUUGGUACAACGAGUUGCGAGUCGGUGACGGCAAGCUAAUCUCUUAAAGCCAAUCUCAGUUCGGAUUGUAGGCUGCAACUCGCCUACAUGAAGUCGGAAUCGCUAGUAAUCGCGGAUCAGCACGCCGCGGUGAAUACGUUCCCGGGCCU